rnacentral:rRNA from 1 species
GCUAGCGAUAGGCUUAACACAUGCAAGUCGAGGGGCAGCAUGAUCUUAGCUUGCUAAGGUUGAUGGCGACCGGCGCACGUGUGCGUAACGCGUAUGCAACUUGCCUUACAGAGGGGGAUAACCCGUUGAAAGACGGACUAAAACCGCAUACACUUGUAUUAUUGCAUGAUAUUACAAGGAAAUAUUUAUAGCUGUAAGAUAGGCAUGCGUCCCAUUAGCUGGUUGGUGAGGUAACGGCUCACCAAGGCGACGAUGGGUAGGGGAACUGAGAGGUUUAUCCCCCACACUGGUACUGAGACACGGACCAGACUCCUACGGGAGGCAGCAGUGAGGAAUAUUGGUCAAUGGGCGAUAGCCUGAACCAGCCAAGUCGCGUGAAGGAAGACAGUCCUAAGGAUUGUAAACUUCUUUUAUACGGGAAUGACGGGCGAUACGAGUAUUGCAUUGAAUGUACCGUAAGAAUAAGCAUCGGCUAACUCCGUGCCAGCAGCCGCGGUAAUACGGAGGAUGCGAGCGUUAUCCGGAUUUAUUGGGUUUAAAGGGUGCGUAGGUUGUUCGGUAAGUCAGCGGUGAAACCUGAGCGCUCAACGUUCAGCCUGCCGUUGAAACUGCCGGGCUUGAGUUCAGUGGCGGCAGGCGGAAUUCGUGGUGUAGCGGUGAAAUGCAUAGAUAUCACGAGGAACUCCGAUUGCGAAGGCAGCUUACCAUACUGCGACUGACACUGAAGCACGAAGGCGUGGGUAUCAAACAGGAUUAGAUACCCUGGUAGUCCACGCAGUAAACGAUGAUUACUAGGAGUUUGCGAUAUACCGUCAAGCUUCCACAGCGAAAGCGUUAAGUAAUCCACCUGGGGAGUACGCCGGCAACGGUGAAACUCAAAGGAAUUGACGGGGGCCCGCACAAGCGGAGGAACAUGUGGUUUAAUUCGAUGAUACGCGAGGAACCUUACCCGGGAUUGAAAUGUAGAUGACGGAUGGUGAAAACCGUCUUCCCUUCGGGGCUUCUAUGUAGGUGCUGCAUGGUUGUCGUCAGCUCGUGCCGUGAGGUGUCGGCUUAAGUGCCAUAACGAGCGCAACCCACAUCGGUAGUUGCUAACAGUUUUCGCUGAGGACUCUACCGAGACUGCCGUCGUAAGGCGUGAGGAAGGUGUGGAUGACGUCAAAUCAGCACGGCCCUUACAUCCGGGGCGACACACGUGUUACAAUGGGAGGGACAAAGGGCAGCUACCGGGCGACCGGAUGCGAAUCUCUAAACCCUUCCCCAGUUCGGAUCGGAGUCUGCAACUCGACUCCGUGAAGCUGGAUUCGCUAGUAAUCGCGCAUCAGCCAUGGCGCGGUGAAUACGUUCCCGGGCCUUGUACACACCGCCCGUCAAGCCAUGGGAGUCGGGGGUACCUGAAGGGCGUAACCGCAAGGGGCGCACUAGGGUAAUACCGG